UGGGGAAUAUUGCACAAUGGGCGCAAGCCUGAUGCAGCCAUGCCGCGUGUGUGAAGAAGGCCUUCGGGUUGUAAAGCACUUUCAGCGGGGAGGAAGGCGAUAAGGUUAAUAACCUUGUCGAUUGACGUUACCCGCAGAAGAAGCACCGGCUAACUCCGUGCCAGCAGCCGCGGUAAUACGGAGGGUGCAAGCGUUAAUCGGAAUUACUGGGCGUAAAGCGCACGCAGGCGGUCUGUCAAGUCGGAUGUGAAAUCCCCGGGCUCAACCUGGGAACUGCAUUCGAAACUGGCAGGCUAGAGUCUUGUAGAGGGGGGUAGAAUUCCAGGUGUAGCGGUGAAAUGCGUAGAGAUCUGGAGGAAUACCGGUGGCGAAGGCGGCCCCCUGAACAAAGACUGACGCUCAGGUGCGAAAGCGUGGGGAGCAAACAGG
rnacentral:rRNA from 1 species